rnacentral:tRNA from 1 species
GGGCUUGUAGCUCAGUUAGGUAGAGCGCCUGGCUUUUAACCAGGUGGCCGGGGGUUCAAAUCCCUCCAGGCCCG